rnacentral:misc_RNA from 1 species
GGCAUCCUCAGGUGAUUGUUGCUCCGCCUGUUGUAAUCGUUGGUCGGAAUCGGUCCCAAGCUGGGAACAGGAGGGUUACUCCGACCACCAUUAUAACCACGCAAUCUACAGAGACGACAGCUAUCACUGACGUAGUUGGAGCUCCGGCGGCUGCUUCGACUACUGCGUCGGCGACCGCCGUGGAGAAGCACCUACCCAACG